rnacentral:lncRNA from 1 species
AUGACAAGUGACAUCAGCAUCUAUUUGAGCUUGACUACAUGUGGCCAAGCCAACCUGAGACUGGCCAAGUUCAUGCCCGAAAGGAAUCUACUGAUGGUUUUGGAGGUGGAGCAGGAUAUUUGGAGCUGCAGCCCCACAGAAGGUGUAUCUGAAGGGGGAUACACUGUGUGUGAGGGUCAUAGCCAGCAGAUGUAUCUUCAGUUAGGACAAGACAUCAUCAGCAAAAUCUACCCCUUACAAAGCAGGAGGGAAGCUAAAGUUUGUUCCUUCUGA